GCGGGCGUGGCGGAAUUGGCAGACGCGCCAGAUUUAGGUUCUGGUGGGCGACCGUGCAGGUUCAAGUCCUGUCGCCCGUACUA
rnacentral:tRNA from 1 species